rnacentral:rRNA from 1 species
GACGAAAGAGGGGGGGGGAGGGCAUACAUGCAAGUCGAACGCUUCUUUCCUCCCGAGUGCUUGCACUCAAUUGGAAAGAGGAGUGGCGGACGGGUGAGUAACCCGUGGGUAACCUACCCAUCAGCGGGGGAUAACACUUGGAAACAGGUGCUAAUACCGCAUAACAGUUUAUGCCGCAUGGCAUAAGAGUGAAAGGCGCUUUCGGGUGUCGCUGAUGGAUGGACCCGCGGUGCAUUAGCUAGUUGGUGAGCUACCGGCUUACCAGGGCCACGAUGCAUAGCCGACCGGAGAGGGUGAUCGGCCACACCGGGACUGAGCCACGGCCCAGACUCCUACGGGAGGCAGCAGUAGGGAAUCUUCUGCAAUGGACGAAAGUCUGACCGAGCAACGCCGCGUGAGUGAAGAAGGUUUUCGGAUCGUAAAACUCUGUUGUUAGAGAAGAACAAGGACGUUAGUAACUGAACGUCCCCUGACGGUAUCUAACCAGAAAGCCACGGCUAACUACGUU